rnacentral:rRNA from 1 species
AGAGUUUGAUCCUGGCUCAGGAUGAACGCUGGCGGCGUGCCUAAUACAUGCAAGUCGAACGGCGCAGCAAUGCGUAGUGGCGACCGGGUGAGUAACACGUAGCUAACCUACCCCUUCGCGGGGAAUAACAAGCCGAAAGGCGUGCUAAUACCGCAUACCUUCACAUGGCUCAGACAAGUGUGAAGAAACUUACGGGGCGA